GUUUUAAUAGUUUAAUUAAAAUAGUGGUCUUGUAAACCACAGAUAGGAAAUUCCUUUAAAACU
rnacentral:tRNA from 1 species